CACACCGCCCGUCGCUCCUACCGAAGGACCGGUCCGGGUGUGUUGGGUUCGCGGCGACCUGGGCGGUUCGCCGCCGGCGACGUCGCGAGAAGUCCACUGAACCUUAUCAUUUAGAGGAAGGAGAAGUCGUAACAAGGUUUCCGUAGUGAACCUGCGGAAGGAUCAUUGU
rnacentral:rRNA from 3 species